UACGGAGGGUGCGAGCGUUGUCCGGAAUCACUGGGCGUAAAGGGCGCGUAGGCGGUGGCCUAAGCGUGCGGUGAAAGCCUGGGGCUCAACCCCGGGUCGGCCGUGCGAACUGGGCGACUUGAGCACUGUAGAGGCAGGCGGAAUUCCGGGUGUAGCGGUGGAAUGCGUAGAGACCGCGAAGAACACCGGUGGCGAAGGCGGCCUGCUGGGCAGUAGCUGGACGCUGAGGCGCGACAGCGUGGGGGAGCAAACAGG
rnacentral:rRNA from 1 species